GAAAACUUCAAGAAGAAGAACAGAUAAUGAAAAAUUUUCCUAUUCCGAUCCAGAGAGGUUUUUUAUUCCAAAACUUUGGAUUUUCUCCGUAACUUUGUGGAAUUGCAGCAUAACAGACCAUACAUUCAAGCUACGAAAAAUGUCAGAUAAUGAAUCAUCCAAGGCACCUUUGAAGAGAAAUGAUGUGCUUCCAGCUGAACUACCAUCCCUUGCCGAUCCCUUCGAGCACCGUGCCGGAGGUUGUUCCGGAAUCUCUGAACGGCAUUUCUUUAUGGAGCACAUCAUACAUUCCCGGCUCAAAUUUCUUCAGACAGGAACGUUGUGGUCAGUUAGUGCUGAACAGGUUCGGCUUUUAGGAAGAGAGGUGUUACAUAUGAUUAUUUUGUUGAUUAUUAUUGAUACGAUAAGAGCAUAUUCGCAAACAGUUUAUUAUUAACCCAUUCCCCCAUAAAAGAUUAUUAAGCGUGAAUACAAACUGCAAAAGAAAAAACAAAACACUGGAGUAAAACACGGUGUAGAAAACCGCAACUGCAGAAAAAUAUUCAUCCAGGAAUCUGCCAGACAUAGAAGAAACUCGGGCUUGACAUCUGUCAACAUUCGUACGGCCAAGAAUUGGCUAGAAAGGCCUAGAAAGAAGCCUCAUUCCGCAGUUGGCGACAUUGCGCUUCCGGAAAAGGGCACAGAAAGUGCUGAAAAAGUAAGAGUGCGCCAUUGGUGAAAAAACACUGCCCCCUGGAAAAUUAUCUUUUCUCGGCCGAAGCCACAGUGGUACUUCGCCGUCAGCCAACCAGAGAACUGAGCGAUCCAAGAAUCCGGUAGGGCCGAAGACGACUUGGCACGGAUCACGGCUCAAAGCAAGAAACAGUCGCCAAGCCACCAAUUGAGCGCCAUACAAUCCGGUCGUUUUCAACCCGGAAAGCGCAAGGGAACGGAUCUGUCCAUACGGGACGAAGAGUCGAUAGUUCUGACCCACCAGCAGGCUCGCUAAUAAGCCCAGUUCAGAACCGCAAAGCGGCCAGAAAACAGGCAAACGAAGAAGUGCCAUAAAAAGGGGUCAGGUGUACUGUGAGUACUGACAUUCGAAUUGGAGAAUGAGUUUAUGCCUGACCAGAUUUUUGUCCCCACAGGACCCCUUUUUUCUUUUAUAUUCGCUGUCUUCGUAGCCAUCGCAGUCAUCGAGUGGAUCCGAGCAUUAAUCCGGAUACCACUUCCGGAUCCGAAUACACGUGGUGUGAGGCGAACCUCGGCAGAAGGCCCUUGCAGCGAUCUAUUCCGUGAGGCCGAACACACCGGAACAAUUUAAUUCGGUGACAUCCAGGGCCGCCUACUGGAAUUGCGCUUUUGCAUUUUCGGUUUACAUCGCUCAGCAGUUGGCGAUCGGUUCCGAAAUUUAAUCCAGAUACCACUUCCGGUUCUGGCCAUUCAAGCAGGAACAGUUUGUUCCGGGAACAUCCGGAAAAUCCAGCCGGCAAGGAGCGAAUUCCUACAGUCACGUGGUUUGCAGCUAGGUGUCGUCGAGUGGCAUUGCACUAUUGUUUAUCGCCCGGAGCAGAAGCGUUUCUUGGCGGGCAUCAUAUCUUUCAUCGAAUCGCAGCUAAUUUACUGCUGGAGUUGCGAUCAAUUUUGCAUGCGAUUCGCAUUCAGGAACCAUCUUCGCUUGGAGAACCGGAUAGGCGCGACACUACCGUCUGUGAGUCUUUUCGGUAGUCGAACCGGAAAGCCAAUCACCAGAAGCAGGAUUUUGAAUCCACCCGUGGAUUUAUCCGAGCAGUGGGAGGUGAGCUUCUGUUUUCCACCGCUGUUCGAAGAUUGGUCAGCAGAUGACAAGCGUGAGGAGGUGUUUCCGGAAAUUCUGUGGCGCGAGUCAAGCGUCAGCCGGAGGAUACCGCGAUCCGCGGUGUGAGUGCAGCGUGUGGAACAAUAUCGUGCAGGUUUGCCUCGACGGACGGUCGAACAGCAAAUCGCAGCGUCAGAGUGGUGUUGAUCAGCGGAAUAGCCGGUCCGCGCCCCUGAGGUUUGACAUUGGGUCGGACAAGGAAGGACAGGGAUCCCCUGGGUCCGCAGGAAUCAAUUUCGUCGUCGUCGAGCGCCACAGCCAAGACAAUUUGAGCAUGCAUCGGGUCGGAAGCGAGCGCCAUGCGAGGAAUCCCGAACGUGGGCACAACAGCAUGCAGCAAUAAUUGAUGUAAGUCGCUUUUUUCAUUAUCUUUAUGGGAAGGGAGCAAAUGGGUAACUUUGAAAGUUCGCAACCCUGAAUAAAGUUGCACAAUAUAAUGUCUGUUUGCCAAAUUUAGUAUUUCAUUUAUUUGUGGCACCGACCACGAGCAGUCCCUAUAGAGGAAAUAAAAUUCUCAUAAAAUGUAAGUGAUUAUGAAAUAAAAUUUAUAGUAUUUUGAA